CGCUGGCGGCGCGCCUAACACAUGCAAGUCGAACGAGCGAGAGAGAGCUUGCUUUCUCGAGCGAGUGGCGAACGGGUGAGUAACGCGUGAGGAACCUGCCUCAAAGAGGGGGGACAACAGUUGGAAACGACUGCUAAUACCGCAUAAGCCCACGGGUCGGCAUCGACCAGAGGGAAAAGGAGCAAUCCGCUUUGAGAUGGCCUCGCGUCCGAUUAGCUAGUUGGUGAGGUAACGGCCCACCAAGGCAACGAUCGGUAGCCGGACUGAGAGGUUGAACGGCCACAUUGGGACUGAGACACGGCCCAGACUCCUACGGGAGGCAGCAGUGGGGAAUAUUGCACAAUGGGGGAAACCCUGAUGCAGCGACGCCGCGUGGAGGAAGAAGGUCUUCGGAUUGUAAACUUCUUUUAUUAAGGACGAAGAAAGUGACGGUACUUAAUGAAUAAGCUCCGGCUAACUACGUG
rnacentral:rRNA from 1 species